CGAGGCGCGAUGGUGGGUAAGGCGUUGAUUUCUUGCGGGAAUCCAAUGCAAUCCUUCGCGGAGUUUUUUUUCUAAGAGGAUGCGGGGCCGAACAUAUCAUACAGCAUGGAAGCAUCUCAAGUCUCUGUGGAUUGGAGGACAUAACUCUCCAUCAUCUUGCAUGCAUAAGGUUUGCAAGGAUGCAGGUAUUGGUCAUGGGAGUCAACCCAGGCAGGAAUACAGAUGUCACAUAACUUCAUUGUAAGCUCUAAACCCAAGAAAAUCCCUUUUUGGAGAAAAGAGUGUUAGUGAUGCAUCUCUUCUGAUCUACAUUCCAAGAACAAUGUCAGCGUUUGAUGGUAAGAAAAGCAGCCCAACCCACCUCUGAAACAUUUCCUGGAAGCAGAGUUCCAUGUAAGCCUGCUGGGAAUGGGACAGACAAGAUUACAUCUGGAUGUGUUUUAAAUGCCACGGCAUUUAAAAUCUGUGGAGGGAGCAGAAGGUUCGAGCUACUAAACAUCGGCCUCAAAACCUUAGUGACUUGGAGAGGUUCUACAAAGAGGAGUGGGACAAAAUCCCUCCUGAGAUCCGGAGAACUACAAGACACAUCUGACCUCUGAUUGCUCACAAGGGUUCUGCUACCAAGUACUAAGUCAUGUUUUGCGAAGGGGUGAAAUACUUAUUUCACUCAUUAAAAUGCAAGUCAAUUUAUAACUUUUGAAAUGUGUUUUUUUUUUUUUUUGAUUUUUUUUGUUCUGUCUCACUGUUAAAACAAGCCUACCAUUAAAAUUACAGACUGAUCAUUUCUUUGUCAGUGAACAAACAUACAAAAUCAGCAGGGGAUCAGAUACUUUUUUUCCCUCACUGUAUGUGCAUACAUACACAUACACAAUGUAUGUGUAUACAUUUUCAAAGCAAAUGUGUAAGCAAAUUGCAUGUUUGAUGCACAUAUCGUGCAAGAACCAUAAUUGCUUUUGUUGCGUUAUCUGUAGGUGUUUUAAAUGCCACGGCAUUUUUCAAGACAAAACUAAAGGUUAUGCCUUCAGCAAAUACAAUGUAGGUUCUUAAUUUGUGAUUCUGAGGUUUGGGGAUCCUCUGGAGAUGAGCAUUCGGGGUCUGCAAGAUCACACGAAAGGGAAACUCCAGUACUAACUAACUCUGUUCCCAAACUGCUGGCUAUCAAGAUUUUAUCAGCAGCACUUGCCUUGGUUUUAUAUUCCAGGGUGUCAGCCUCACUUUGCAUUUGUAUAGUUAGCAAGGGGUAGCUUGGUAGUGUUACAGAGCAUCCAGCCACAUUGAGUUGGUAACGUGUUCUCAUGUCAAAGAGUGGGUGAUCCAGUGAAAUUCAUGUGUUAAUAGUAUUUUUUCCCCUUAAUUUCUUAUAGCUUAAGUAUAAAUUGCCCAUUUAAAGAAACAGAAAGGUGAAUGUGAUUUUGGAACGGAUAACACCAGGCGUACCUGGAAGGCAAAAUUGCGAAACUGUCUCUCACUUAUUUUGGCCAGGUCAUCCAGGGGAAUUCACUGGAGACAGUAGUUAUGUUUGGAAGAAUUAGAAGUAAAAGGAAAUCAGGCCGCCAAAGAACACUGGCUAGAUACCGUUAAGGCUGACAGCAAGCAGAGCAGGAUUGGAUGAUGUGGAGAGAGGCCUGGCUCAUAGAAUCACCAAGGAUCUGACACGAUUGAAUGGAUAACAAUAUCACCAACAGUUCUAUAAGGUUUUAGUAUGUUUAUUAAACAUACUGCCCUGUGGAACGAACUGCCCCCGGAAAUACGCAAGAUCUCCGACCUCCGUGUGUUUUGCUGUGCCCUUAAGACCUUGCUGUUCCGCCAGGCAGGGCUAUCUAUGUAAAUGAUUUUAAAUUGGGUUUUAAAUUCAGGUCAAAAUUGUUUAAUACUUUUAACUAUUUUUAUUUAUUUAUUUAUUAGAUUUGUAUACCGCCCUACUCCCGAAGGACUCAGGGCGGUGAACAGGCACAAAAUAAAAUAUUUUAAAUAUUUUAAAACUGUUGGUUGUAACUUGUGUUUUUAAUUGGCUGUACACUGCCCCGAGCCCUUCGGGAGAAGGGCAGUAUAUAAAUUAAAUUAUAAAUAAAUAAAUAAAAAGGAUUGGGGGAAGGUUUUAAUAAAAUGUUAUAUGUACAUUUUUUUAAUGGGUAUAAUCAGAAUACAGCAGGAUACAUUUCAGCAAUAUUUGUUGGUUUUGAAAAUGGCUGAAUCCUUUUCUCUGUUAAAGAAUGUUUCAAGUCUUUAAGCUGGCUGGAGACCAUUAAAAGAUUACACAAGA